CGGGGGGGCUCGAGAAAUCUCUCCCAGAUAUUUAUUGCGCGCAUUAAAAAGAUAAAUCGGGAGAAGAGAGAGCGAGGCACGAAGCAGGUAGUGCGGAGCCGUCCCGCUUUAUUUAGAACAUGGAUCAUCGUGUUUGUUUGUGGAAUAUGUUUGCUUCCAGGAUGUAAUUUAACAUACUAACACUCAACCUAUUUAAACAGAGAGACAGAUAAAGGCUUAUGGAGAUCUCAGGGGGAGCCUCCGGAACCCUGCUUUGACUUCUCCUUUCCUCAGGAGCAUAAAAUGAACAGUAAUUAGGCUUUGAUACUCUGGCAAAUGAACAGUAAUUAGAAUCUGCUACCUCCAGUCCUUAACUCCGCUCCUCAUAGAAUAUUCACACCAUUAUUGAACAUUUAGAUGAGGCCGCUCCGCUCGCAUCGCCGCGCCGCGGCCCGCAGAUGGCCCAGGGAAAGCGGAGCGCCGAUUCGCCGGAGCCUUUGGGCCCACAGAGGGGAUUUUCUGGUUAUUAGAACCCUCCUAGAUCAGGGCCAAUUAUAAAGAAAACUGUCAGUCAAGGGAAAAUUGCUACAUGAUUAGUGAAAAGGACAAAAUCAGGUGAAAAGUGUGAAUCAUUCAGGCGGCUUUGAUUUGCUAAUCAGGGGAAGGAAAAGAACAGGAAAGUCCCCAGCUGUAGCCCCGGUUUACUCUUUUCAUUUCAUCGUGACCUUCUUAGCAGUUACCGAUAUAAUCUCCGCAAAAAUAAAAUAAAAUAAAAUAAAGGGACGGUGCGGCUGCGAUUGCGGGGAGGGCCCGGGGGGGGAGGCGAGGCGGAGAGACCCCGGCACAGCGCCCGGCCCUCCGUGCCGCCAGGGCAGGAGAUUCCUAAUUACGUUAAUGGUUUUCAACAGACUAAUUCCCACCGAAAAGCCUUUGUACAAAGACGCCGCCUCCUCCGCAGAGAGCGGCUGUGCAGCGGCGGGGCCGUGCGGGGCGGGCAGGCUUCUAAUGUGAGGAAAAACACGCGGUGACAAGUGUGGAAAAGAGCAAGCACUAAAUUACUGUCAGAAAAAUAAACGGCGGAGCGCGGAGCUGCGCGGUGAUUUACGGGGGCAAUUAGCCACCGCCCCGCCGGGCCGGCUCCGCCCGCCGCCCUUCCUUCCCCGGACACGAAACGGGGAGGGCCGCCCCGGCGCCUGGGCGCUGUGCGGUGGGUGUGGAGGGCCGGGUAAACCCCGGUGCUGCUGUGUCACCCGGGUGGGGUCGUAGAGGGGGGGUUGUAAUUGGAGCGACAGAGCGGAGGGACGUUUGAGGCUCUGGUACAGCUCAGGCUGUGACAGUGAGCCCACAACCACUGAGCCGUGGGGUCUCCAGAAGGACCACCGGGACCAUCGGUGUGGCUGUGGAGAUGCUUCUUCCUGGUGGCCAGAGCAGAAUGUGGGCUGAGGGCUGUCAGGUUCCUAAUCAGUCUGCAGGGACACUGCUCUGCCACAUCUCGCCCUGCUGGAUGCACUGUGAGCACGGUGGCUUUGACCCUGACCUGCCUAACCUAAUCUCCUUGGUGCCCGUACAUCGAUUUUCACUUUCUGAGGCGGCGCUGUGCACCUGGGGCCGAGUACCGGGGCCUGGCUAUGGCAGCAGUGGCAUCUGACCCCGGGUGCUGGGCCUGCCCUUCUGAACAGCACCGCCUGUCCCAGCCAGGGCAUGUGGUGCCAGGACCUGCUCAUCAGGCAGGGAACGCGCUGGGGACAAAAGGAGGAGCAGCAGGGCCAACCCCUCCAGGUGUGGUGCUG